GGGACUCCUGCGGGAGCUGUUUUGGCUUUGCUUUCUCACUCCUUAAAUACUGCUUCAUCUUCGGCCCCUUUCAUUUUAUACAUUAUUUCACAGUGGCAUCACUCAUGCCUGUGGUUUCAAUGACAAUGAUCCAGUCCGUGUCCCCUCUCUUAGCAUGAGGUCCAUGCAUGUCUUUUCAGCCACUUCCUAGACAAAUCCCCGGAAUGCUCUGCAGACAGCUGAGUCUUCACAUGGCCAAUGCUGAGAUCAUCCUCUUGGCCCCCUCCCUCAAAGUGCUUCCCUCCUCCCAUCAAGCCUAUGCAGUGAGAGGUGUCGUCUGCACGGUCACUGAGGCCAGAGAGCUGGCAGGCAGCCCCGCUCCCGCUCCUUCUCCACUGCCGACAGUCUCUGAGUUCUACUGAUUGCACUUUUUGUCUGUGUCCCCUGCCGAGGCCUCAGCCCAGACCCUUUUCUCUCCUUCCUGGUUACUGUCAUAGCCCGGACUGGCUUCUCUGCCUUGGGUCUGCCCCAGCACAGGGGCAGACUGUGUGAUGUCCUCCACACAGUCAUCAGAGAGAUCUUUUAAGGGCUCAAAAGACCCUGCGGCUCCCCUGCCAAUAGCUCUGCCAUCGUCCCCAGAGCUUUCGAGGACCCUCCACCAUCGGCGCCAACCCCAGCUGAGCUGGGUGCUCGUCUGCAGGCCUCUGCUCCAUCUCAGCCUGAGCAUGAGGCUCUGCUGUGCUGCUUCCAGCAGCAGGGACAGGGCUGAUGAGCCUGGCCCUUGCAAGCAUCUUCCUGUGCCGAAUACAAUUCCACAGACAGAGGAUUUAAAAUCCAAGUGGAGGUGACAGGAAAGAAAGGAAAACCUCCAGGUAUCAGAAGAAAGGAGGGGGUGUGAAGACAGUAUGGGAGGAAGGUCAGGCUGGGGCUCAGCUCUGGGAAGUGCCAGCCUGAACAGGAGUCACGCCCGGGUCCACAUGCAAGGGAAUGAGGACCGAGGCCCUGCAUGUGGCAGGGCCUUCCGCAGGCUGCCCCGUCUGUGAACAGGACACCAGAAGAAGUCUGCCUUCCAGCCUGGCAAAGUGGCAAGGAACCUCUGGGUGGUAAUUACUUUCUUAUUUUUUCCCCACAA
rnacentral:lncRNA from 10 species